UGGGGAAUAUUGGACAAUGGGCGAAAGCCUGAUCCAGCCAUGCCGCGUGUGUGAAGAAGGUCUUCGGAUUGUAAAGCACUUUCAGUUGGGAGGAAGGGUGGUAGAUUAAUACUUUGCAAUUUUGACGUUACCGACAGAAUAAGCACCGGCUAACUCUGUGCCAGCAGCCGCGGUAAUACAGUGGGUGCAAGCGUUAAUCGGAAUUACUGGGCGUAAAGCGCUCGUAGGUGGUUUGUUAAGUUGGAUGUGAAAGCCCCGGGCUCAACCUGGGAACUGCAUUCAAAACUGACAAGCUUGAGUAUGGUAGAGGGUGGUAGAAUUUCAGGUGUAGCUGUGAAAUGCGUAUAUAUAGGAAGGAACACCAGUGGCGAAGGCGACCACCUGGACUGAUACUGACACUGAGGUGCGAAAGCGUGGGGAGCAAACA
rnacentral:rRNA from 1 species